UACGGAAGGCAGCAGUGGGGAAUAUUGCACAAUGGGCGCAAGCCUGAUGCAGCCAUGCCGCGUGUAUGAAGAAGGCCUUCGGGUUGUAAAGUACUUUCAGUCGUGAGGAAGGUGUUAAGGUUAAUAACCUUAGCAAUUGACGUUAGCGACAGAAGAAGCACCGGCUAACUCCGUGCCAGCAGCCGCGGUAAUACGGAGGGUGCGAGCGUUAAUCGGAAUUACUGGGCGUAAAGGGCACGCAGGCGGUUAAUUAAGUUGGAUGUGAAAUCCCCGGGCUUAACCUGGGAAUGGCAUUCAAGACUGGUUAGCUAGAGUCUUGUAGAGGGGGUAGAAUUCCAUGUGUAGCGGUGAAAUGCGUAGAGAUGUGGAGGAAUACCGGGUGGCGAAGGCGGCCCCUGGGACAAAGGGCUGACGCUCAUGUGCGAAAGCGUGGGGAGCGAAACAGGGAUUAGAUACC
rnacentral:rRNA from 1 species